CUUGAGCGCCUCCGAAAUGGUGAGUAGACAACAAUCCGACGGUUAUACAUAAAAACCAACAUCGUUAAAUGAGUGGAUAAUGAUAAAAUCCUUUAGAUCAUAGCAGAAGUGUUUGAAUGGCACACCAUAGAAGGUGAGAGUCCUGUACGCGAAAUGGUCUUAGGCAUUAUAUAUCUUUUUUCAAGUAGGACGGGGCACGAGAAACCCUGUUUGAAUCCGGCAGGACCACCUGCCAAGGCUAAAUAUAUUGAUUGAUCGAUAGCGAACUAGUACAGUGAUGGAAAGGUGAAAAGAACCCCGGGAGGGGAGUGAAAUAGAUCCUGAAAUUUAGUGCCUACAAGGAGUCGGAGCCGGCUUGUCCGGUGACGGCGUGCUUUUUGUAGAACGAUCCAGCGAGUUAAUUUUUACAGCGAGGUUAAGUCAAUUGACGGAGCCACAGUGAAAGCGAGCCUGAAUAGGGCGUUUAGUUGUAAGGAUUAGACCCGAAACCGGGUGACCUAACCAUGAGCAGGUUGAAGCCACUGUAACAGGUGGUGGAGGACCGAACCAGGAUACGCAGCAAAGUGUUUGGAUGACUUGUGGUUAGCGGUGAAAUGCCAAUCGAACUCGGAGAUAGCUGGUUCUCCUCGAAAUAGCUUUAGGGCUAGCGUUGUGUUAGUAAUCAUCAGGGGUAGAGCUCUGAAAAGGUUUGGGGCCGGCAACGGUACCCACCCUUAUCAAACUACGAAUACUGGUGGUGUAACCACAGCAGUCAGAACGGCGGGGCUAAGCUCGUCGCUCAAAAGGGAAACAGCCCAGAUCAUCGUCUAAGGUCCCCAAUUAACACUAAGUGGGAAACAAAGUGAAAUUUCUUAAACAGCUAGGAUGUUGGCUUAGAAGCAGCCAUUCAUUUAAAGAGUGCGUAACAGCUCACUAGUCAAGAGAUUUUGCGUGGAAAAUGUAACGGGGCUAAAGUGUUAAACCGAAGACAUGGACUUCUGCCUAUGCAGGAGUGGUAGAGGAGCGUUGAUAUCGCAGUGAAGUCAGAUUGGAAAGUCUGGUGGAGCGUUAUCAAGUGAGAAUGCUGGAAUUAGUAACCUUAAGACAGGUGAGAAUCCUGUCGGUCGUAAGAGCAAGGUUUCCAGGGCUACAGUAAUUGCCCCUGGGUUAGUCGGUCCUAAGCCGAGGCGUAUCAGCGUAGGCGAUGGACAACAGGUUAAUAUUCCUGUACAGGUAGUAGUUGUGAACAGUUCACGGUGAAUGACUGGAGCGGAUUAAUGGUUUAUCCGUCCAAGUCUUUAGGGAACUAAAGAUGAGUGAAAGGUAAUCUUCGGAUUAUUGAUUCUGGGUGAAGCACUGGCUAGAAAAGCUGGUUCACUUAUGCUGCUGCCUACCGUACCGCAAACCAACACCGGUGCUCGGGUCGAGUAGACCAAGACCUACGUGAGAACCUUCGCUAAGGAACUCGGCAAAAAAGCGUCCGUAACUUCGGAAUAAGGACUGCCCUCUCAUUAAGAUGAGGAUUUGCUAGAAACUCAGCAGAAGAUUCAGAUUACCUUUUAACUGAAUUUUUCGUUGAGACAGAACACAAAACAGGAUUUGUUUAACAAAUUCGUGUCUUUUCUAGUAGUCUAAUCGUCAUUUUGAUGAGAGGGCCGCAGCUAAAGAGCCCACGGAACUGUUUACCAAAAACAUAGGUCUCUGCUAACGCGAAAGCGGAUGUAUAGGGGCUGACUCCUGCCCGGUGUCGGAAGGUUAAGGGGAGAGCUUUACGGUUCGAACUGAAGCCCCGAUGAACGGCGGCGAUAACUAUGAUCGUCCUAAGGUAGCGAAAUUCCUUGUCUGGUAAGUUCAGACCCGCACGAAUGGAGUAAUCAUGUGGGCACUGUCUCGGCGAAGGCCACGGUGAACGUGCAUUGGCGGUAAAGAUGCCGUCUGAUCAUGCCAGGACGAGAAGACCCCAUGGAGCUUUACUACAACUUUGCA
rnacentral:rRNA from 1 species